UACGAAGGGGGCUAGCGUUGUUCGGAAUUACUGGGCGUAAAGUGCGCGCAGGCGGUCUUCCAAGUCAGUGGUGAAAGCCCGGAGCUCAACUCCGGAACUGCCAUUGAAACUGUUAGACUUGAGGAUGAGAGAGGUGAGUGGAAUUCCCAGUGUAGAGGUGAAAUUCGUAGAUAUUGGGAAGAACACCGGUGGCGAAGGCGGCUCACUGGCCCGGUACUGACGCUGAGGUGCGAAAGCGUGGGGGAGCAAACAGG
rnacentral:rRNA from 1 species